UAGUGCCUACGGGACGCAGCAGUGGGGAAUAUUGCACAAUGGGGGAAACCCUGAUGCAGCGACGCCGCGUGAGCGAAGAAGUAUUUCGGUAUGUAAAGCUCUAUCAGCAGGGAAGAAAAAUGACGGUACCUGAGUAAGAAGCACCGGCUAAAUACGCGCCAGCAGCCGCGGUAAUACGUAUGGCGCAAGCGUUAUCCGGAUUUACUGGGUGUAAAGGGAGCGCAGGCGGGGGGG
rnacentral:rRNA from 1 species